ACAGACCAGACUCAAAUUAUGUAGCAGAAGCUGGCCUUUCAACUCCUGGUUCUCCAGCUUCUCUCUUUCAAGGGCUGAUAUUACAGUGAUUCUACAUUACCUCAAAAACGAUCAUGGAAGCAGAAUCCUCCUCAGAAGAUGGAGAGGGGCAGAAGAUGGGCCAGAAAUAUGAUAUGCUCUUGAUGUGCAGAAUCUGGGAACAGAGCAGCCCCUUCAGCAGGGCCCUGAGAACAGCAGCUGUAGGAACAGCAGCCUCCCCAGCAUCUCGGCCUCCUCGAUUCACAUAAUCAGCCCCAACACCACUGUAAUCAUUUUUGGCAAAGUGGAAGAGCCUUGGUGUGGCUCUGGCAGCCUUUCUUUUCUUUUGCAUUCCACUAAAACAUUAAUGAAUACAUUUAUUUAACGAAUUUUCAGCUUGUUCACUAAGGUGUAGCAGAGUGUGUAUAUGAGAAAAUGGAAAAAAAUAAAUUUCAUUGUCAGAGUCAGCCAAAAAUCAUUUAUAAUUAAUUAAGAAUUAAUUAAUUAAUUAGUGAGAAAAAUGUCACUUAAUUUUAAAGUCUCCUGUUAAUGCCUUGACCCCAACAGCACAUUUAGAAAGUGUUAUAAAAUAUAGUAGAAUUAAUUCUGUUCAAAAUUUUAAAAUAAUGAUUUAUUGGUCUCUUAGAAUUCUAUACCUUUCAUUGAGUGCCUUCCCUGUACCCUUGGAGCCUGGUGGUCUAGAACCUCUCUGAUGCUCCCUGGCCGCCCAGAGAUUGUUCCAGAUCAUUCUGGAGCUUUCUUUCCAGGUUCCCAUCUAAUCUAUAUCUAAUCCAUGCUCCACUUUAGUGCUUUAGAGGAAUGAUGAUUUGUUUGUCUGUGGUAAGAUGUUUUUGGUUUAUCACAAUAGUGCAAGGAGAUACCAACGUCUCUAUUCUCAGACAUCAUUAAGUGUUAUCAACAUUGAGAGAUGGAGAUUCUCCAUAAUCAUAAUGCUUAGAUAGUUACCCCACAGAAUUCUGUCUGCUUGAUUUGUAUGCUGUCUCAUGGGUAAUCUUCAUGUAGCCAAAAUGUAAAUAAGUUCAGAUAAAUUCUUAAAUAUAUUUAACUUUAAAAAGCCAAGAGAGGGUUUCUUAUUGUUUUUGUUGUGACCCUAACCUUUAACUGCUGAGCCAUCUCCCCAGCCCAAGAGAGGGUUUCUUAAUGGGCUUAGGGAAGAAUCAGCCCCUUUUAUUUCACAUAUCAAAUAAGGUAAUAGUAUGCCUUAGUUUGGCUUCUAUUGCUGUGAAGAGACAGAAUGGCCCCAAUACAUUCAUGUGUUUGAAUGAUUGUCUUAUAGCAAAUAACAUCAUUAAGAGGUGUGGCCUAAGAUAAAAAACUCAAGUGACAACACAUGCUAUUGAGGAUGUGGAGAAAGGGGAACACUCCUACAUUCCUGGUGGGAGGGCAAACUUAUACAGCCAUUUUGGAACUCAAUCUGGCGCUUUCUCAGAAAAUUGGAACUAACCAUACCUCAAGAUCCAGCUAUACCACUCCUGGGCAUACACCCAAAAGAUGCUCCAUCAUACAGUAAAGACAUCUGCUCAACCAUGUUCAUAGCAACUUUAUUCACAAUAGCCAAGAAUUGGAAAACCUAGAUGUUCCUCAACCAAAGAACAGAUAAAGAAACUGUGGUACUUUUACACAAUGGAAUACUACUCAGCCAUUAAAAACAAGGACAUUGUGAAAUUUGCAGACAAAUGGAUGGAACUAGAAAAUAUCUUACUGAGUGAGGUAGCACAGACCC